rnacentral:rRNA from 1 species
AUCGUAACUCCUACGGGAGGCAGCAGUGGGGAAUUUUGCACAAUGGGGGCAACCCUGAUGCAGCGACGCCGCGUGAUUUAGAAGGCCUUCGGGUUGUAAAAAUCUUUUGUAUGGGAAGAAAAUGACAGUACCAUACGAAUAAGGACCGGCUAAUUACGUGCCAGCAGCCGCGGUAAUACGUAAGGUCCGAGCGUUGUCCGGAAUCAUUGGGCGUAAAGGGUACGUAGGCGGAUAAGCAAGUUAGUAGUGAAAUCCUAUAGCUCAACUAUAGUAAGCUUUUAAAACUGCUCAUCUUGAGGUUUGGAAGGGAAAGUGGAAUUCCUAGUGUAGCGGUGAAAUGCGCAGAUAUUAGGAGGAGUACCGGUGGCGAAGGCGACUUUCUGGCCAUAAACUGACGCUGAGGUACGAAAGCGUGGGUAGCAAACAGGAUUAGAAACCCGAGUAGUCCUAGAGC